rnacentral:rRNA from 1 species
UACGAAGGUCCCAAGCGUUUAUCCGGAUUUAUUGGGUUUAAAGGGUGCGUAGGCGGACUAUUAAGUCAGUGGUGAAAGCCCCAGCUUAACUUGGGAACUGCCAUUGAUACUGAUGGUCUUGAGUACAUUUGAGGUGGGCGGAAUGUGUCAUGUAGCGGUGAAAUGCUUAGAUAUGACACAGAACACCGAUCGUCGAAGGCAGCUCACUAAACUGUAAACUGAC